rfam:TPA: Bos taurus chromosome 24, whole genome shotgun sequence.
UUCCUGAUAGCUGAGUUGAUAAAGAAUCCGCCUGCAAAGCAGGAGACCCCGGUUCCAUUUCUGGGUCUGGAAG